CUCGACCAAUCACAAUGAAGGAGACACACCUGCUUGGUGCUUGGUGCAAGGUGAUUGGUUACAUUACAGAAAGACAUUGGGGUAGGGCUUGUAGGUGUACAUGUAAACCAAGCCCUUUACAAACUCAGACUCUUUGCAUUAAGAGCUUAACCAGGUAACAUCACCACCGCGCUGUGGCCUGUCAACGGCGGACAUCAACGAAUGGACAUCACCUCUGGUAUCUGCCUUUCUGCUUCCCCACUGCAUCAACUGAUCUCCUGAAUCUCUGAAGCUUCUUUUUUUCUGACCCCGGCAUGCAAGAAAUAAUUUGUCCUUCGACAAAAGGAGGAAAGAGGCCUCUAGUCCUGGUCUGUCUACACGCUGCCUGGCUGAAGACUGGCAGGGAGCUGAGCGUAUCUCUGGGUUUUUCCUUUCAUGGCGCCUUGAAUGACCAGAAUCAGACUGGAUGUGGUUCUCUCUCGCUUGGGCUCCAGGGAGAAAUUUGAGAAAAGUUCCCCCCUUUUUUCCUUUCUCCCUCCAGAACCUUUUUUUUUUUUACAUUCUUCCUUUACCACUCUAUUCACAACGGUAAGAUUACAGGUGCUGCUGUUUGAUUUCCUUCUCAGUCCCCUCCCCUUUUGUCCCCCCUCUUCCAACCUGCUCCCUUGCUAAUCCCACAACAUUUGCAUCAUGUUUGCUUUACUUUUUUCAAAGCAAAACCAUCUCUUUAUGCUUGUUCUAACAGCAAUGGAGACUAUAUUUUCAGCUUGAAGGAACAAAUUAAAACACAUAUUUUCAUCACAUAGACAAAUAAAUCAAACCUGAAAUAACUUGAUUUUAAACAACAGCAUGUUUAAAAAAAACUACAAAGGCCACAAGUGCCUAGUUUGCUGAAAGCAAUGGGACAGCCUUAAAAACUUACAAUUUCUGACGAAGUACAUUGUAACUUACCUAUUUCAAUAUAUUAAGUCAAAUAUAAACAACUAACGGUAAAAUUUUACACAGAUAAACCCCUAUACGGAUUCUAUAUGUAGCCGAGAUUCUGUGUAUAAAAUUAAACUGAAAGGGG
ensembl:lncRNA